UACGUAGGGUGCGAGCGUUAAUCGGAAUUAUUGGGCGUAAAGCGUGCGCAGGCGGUCUUUUAAGUCUGUUGUGAAAUCCCCGGGCUUAACCUGGGAACUGCAAUUGUGACUGCAAGGCUAGAGUGUGUCAGAGGGGGGUGGAAUUCCACGUGUAGCAGUGAAAUGCGUAGAGAUGUGGAGGAACACCGAUGGCGAAGGCAGCCCCCUGGGAUAACACUGACGCUCAUGCACGAAAGCGUGGGGAGCAAACAGG
rnacentral:rRNA from 1 species